UACAGAGGUCUCAAGCGUUGUUCGGAUUCAUUGGGCGUAAAGGGUGCGUAGGCGGCGCGGUAAGUCGGGUGUGAAAUCUCGGGGCUUAACUCCGAAACUGCAUUCGAUACUGCCGUGCUUGAGGACUGGAGAGGAGACUGGAAUUUACGGUGUAGCGGUGAAAUGCGUGGAUAUCGUAAGGAAGACCAGUGGCGAAGGCGGGUCUCUGGGCCGAUAUUGACGCUGAGGAGCGAAAGCGUGGGGAGCGAACAGG
rnacentral:rRNA from 1 species